rnacentral:rRNA from 1 species
GGCCCAAACUCCUACGGGAGGCAGCAGUAGGGAAUAUUGCGCAAUGGGGGGAACCCUGACGCAGCGACGCCGCGUGAGUGAUGACGGCCUUUUUGGUUGUAAAGCUCUGUAAAGAGGGAAAAAUGUUUACGUGCAGAGCGUAAAUUGAUGGUACCUCUAAAGUAAGGACCGGCUAAAUACGUGCCAGCAGCCGCGGUAAUACGUAUGGUCCUAGCGUUGUCCGGAAUGACUGGGCGUAAAGGGUGUGUAGGCGGAUGUAUAUGUCAGAUGUGAAAUACCUCGGCUUAACUGAGGCAUUGCGUUUGAAACUGUACAUCUUGAGCAUGUCAGGGGUAAGCGGAAUUCCCGGAGUAGCGGUGAAAUGCGUAGAUAUCGGGAAGAACACCGGUGGCGAAGGCGGCUUACUGGGGCAUAGCUGACGCUGAGGCACGAAAGCGUGGGGAGCGAACGGGAUUAGAUACCCCGGUAGUCCACGCCGUAAACGAUGGAUACUAGAUGUCAGUUGCAUAAUAGCAGUUGGUAUCGAAGCCAACGCGAUAAGUAUCCCGCCUGGGGAGUACGGUCGCAAGAUUAAAACUCAAAGGAAUUGACGG